rnacentral:misc_RNA from 1 species
UUUGAUUUCCUUUUUAGCACCUAAUUUAAGUAAUCAAAUUCUACUUAAUGCUUUAGGCUAAAUACUUUUUUUUUUUUCUUCUUAGCAACCACAACAAUAAAUACAGUAAUUAAUAAUCACCAUUAGCAACAACAAAGCCACCAGCAUCCACCACCACCACUAGCAGCACCAUCAUUAUUACUAGUAUUAACACCAUCACCAUUAUUGUCAUUACCUUACCCUAAACAAUUCAAAUAUCGUUUUUCAAAUUCAAUUAUGAUAGUUAUUAGACAAUAUGACUAAACCAUAUUUUAUUCAUCAGUUUUAAACUUUCAACACUUAUCAACUCAG